rnacentral:rRNA from 1 species
UAACACGUGGAUAAUCUGCCUGGGUGUCUGGGAUAACCAGUCGAAAGAUUGGCUAAUACCGGAUAAGCCCCCGGGAGCUUCGGCUCCUGAGGGAAAAGGUGGCCUCUGUAUACAAGCUAUCACAUCCAGAUGAGUCCGCGGCCCAUCAGCUAGUUGGCGGGGUAAUGGCCCACCAAGGCAACGACGGGUAGCUGUCUGAGAGGACGACCAGCCACACUGGGACUGAGACACGGCCCAGACUCCUACGGGAGGCAGCAUGGGGAUUUUGGACAAUGGGGGCAACCCUGUCCAGCAAUGCCGCGUGUGUGAAGAAGGCCUUCGGGUUGUAAAGCAUUUUGUCCAGGAAAGAAUCGUCCGGCCAAUACUGGAUGGAGACGGU